AGCCAUGCAUGUCUAAGUAUAAGCAAUUAUACAGCGAAACUGCGAAUGGCUCAUUAUAUAAGUUAUCGUUUAUUUGAUAGUACCUUACUACUUGGAUAACCGUGGUAAUUCUAGAGCUAAUACAUGCUAAAAAUCCCGACUUCGGAAGGGAUGUAUUUAUUAGAUUAAAAACCAAUGCCCUCUGGGCUCUUUGGUGAUUCAUGAUAACUUCUCGAAUCGCACGGCCUUGCGCCGGCGAUGGUUCAUUCAAAUUUCUUCCCUAUCAACUUUCGAUGUUUGGGUAUUGGCCAAACAUGGUUGCAACGGGUAACGGAGGGUUAGGGCUCGACCCCGGAGAAGGAGCCUGAGAAACGGCUACUACAUCCAAGGAAGGCAGCAGGCGCGCAAAUUACCCAAUCCCGACACGGGGAGGUAGUGACAAUAAAUACUGAUACAGGGCUCUUUUGGGUCUUGUAAUUGGAAUGAGUACAAUUUAAAUCCCUUAACGAGGAACAAUUGGAGGGCAAGUCUGGU
rnacentral:rRNA from 1 species